rnacentral:rRNA from 2 species
GAUGAUGGCAGAGAGGUCACACCCGUUCCCAUACCGAACACGGAAGUUAAGCUCUCUAGCGCCGAUGGUAGUUGGGACCUUGUCCCUGUGAGAGUAGGACGUCGCCAAGCA